CAACCUCAACUCAUAUGGGACUACCCCCUGAAUUUAAGCAUAUUAAUUAGGGGAGGAAAAGAAACUAACAAGGAUUUUCUUAGUAGCGGCGAGCGAAAAGAAAUCAGUUCAGCACUAAGUCACUUUGUCUAUAUGGCAAAUGUGAGAUGCAGUGUACGGAACAUCAACAUUCUAGUAUGAGAAGUUAACGAUUUAAGUCCUUCUUAAAUGAGGCCAUUUACCCAUAGAGGGUGCCAGGCCCGUAUAACGUUAAUGAUUACUAGAUGGUGUUUCCAAAGAGUCGUGUUGCUUGAUAGUGCAGCACUAAGUGGGUGGUAAACUCCAUCUAAAACUAAAUAUAACCAUGAGACCGAUAGUAAACAAGUACCGUGAGGGAAAGUUGAAAAGAACUCUGAAUAGAGAGUUAAAUAGUACGUGAAACUGCUUAGAGGUUAAGCCCGAUGAACCUGAAUAUCCGUUAUGGAAAAUUCAUCAUUAGAAUUGUAAUAUUUUAAACAAUAUUAUAAUAAUAGUGUGACAUUUUUCCAUAUAAGGACAUU
rnacentral:ncRNA from 1 species